rnacentral:sRNA from 1 species
AAAUCGCUAGCCUGUGAUAGUGCCACAG